GACGAACGCUGGCGGCGUGCUUAACACAUGCAAGUCGAACGGAAAGGCCCUGCUUUUGCGGGGUGCUCGAGUGGCGAACGGGUGAGUAACACGUGAGUAACCUGCCCUUGACUUUGGGAUAACUUCAGGAAACUGGGGCUAAUACCGGAUAGGAGCUCCUGCUGCAUGGGGGGGGUUGGAAAGUUUCGGCGGUUGGGGAUGGACUCGCGGCUUAUCAGCUUGUUGGUGGGGUAGUGGCAUACCAAGGCUUUGACGGGUAGCCGGCCUGGGCGGGUGGCCGGCGACAAUGGGACUGCGAGACGGCCCAGACUCCUACGGUCGGCAGCAGUGGGGAGUAUUGCGCAAUGGGCGGAAGCCUGAUGCGGCGACGCCGCGUUCGGGAUGACGGCUUUCGGGUUGUAAACCGCUUUCGCCUGUGACAAAGCGGGAGUGACGGUAAUGGGUAAAGAAGCACCGGCUAACUACGUG
rnacentral:rRNA from 1 species